AUCAAAACACCGCCGGGUGUCACUUACAGAAGUACUCUUAUCAAUUCCAUUAGGCCAUAGAAGGAAUUGAUAGGGGUACUUAUUUUUU
rnacentral:ncRNA from 1 species